GAGGUGGUCUCUGCAGCUUGUCAGACUGGAGCGGGAUGAGUACGGCAAAAUCUAACGGCCAUAGCAGGUUCUCUGGAGACAAAGGACUUUCCAAUGUGCUUUCAACUCGGAACGGUUCGAACGCGUCAGGACCAUUCUAAAACGCAUCGCAGUCUUGCCCUGAGAAUGUGCGCCUGGCCAAGGAGGGAGGUCCGCGCACUCCGCCUUGCCUCGGUGUGGUUAUCGGAUAUCGGCGCGGGGCUGUUUGCUACUUUCUCUUUCUCAUCAGGGAAAACAGUUUUUCGUGAACAGUGGUCUCCCAUGAAACACAGUGGGCCAUGCAUAUGAACUCACAUUCCCCCAAAAUAGGACUGCUUUUUUUCUCGCGGCCGUCGCGUGCGACCGCAGAAGCAAAAGUAAGCAUCUUUCCCGCCUUCGACCAGUCCGUGGUCUCAGGGGCUUCUUUUUCUGUGUGUUUGUCAGCUUACACUCCACAAAACAGCCC
rnacentral:lncRNA from 1 species